CAUGCUCAGCAUCGUAUCAGAAUUCAAGAUAUCAACCGCCAUGGCUGCUGCUACCCCCUUGCAAUGCAGUUUCUCUCCCGCCAUAACUUGUCUGAAAUCAAAUCUCAAACUCAAACACAUUAAUUCACUUCUCUGCCCUGACUUUUUACAGACCCAUUUGUUUCUCCAACACAAACGCCAGGUUGAGAAUGUCUCAAAACAAAAGCAGCAUUACCUAAACUGUCGCAUUGGUUAGUUGUGGUUUCUGGGUUAGUGGAUGGCAAUUCUGAGAUAUACCCAGAAGCAGGAUCAAGUGAUUUGAAUGAGGAGGGUGCAGCCAUUGACAUAAAACUGCCAAGGAGUUUGCUUGUGCAAUUUACUUGUAAUCAAUGUGGCGAGAGGUGUCAGAGGCUCACUAAUCGUUUAGUCUACGAACAGGGACUUGUUUUUGUGCAUGUACUCAUCUGUUCUAAUGGGCUGUUAGAAUGACAAUUUGUUGCAAUAUCUUUCUUACCAGUAAGCAUUUAUCCUGUUAUAUUAAAGGCCAGCAAUGCACUGUCCUUUUGACUUAAAAAGGAAAAGGAAAAAAGAGGAUUCAGAAUUGAUUUUUUAUUGGGAAAGUAUAAUCUGAAACUUCCAAUAACAAGCCAUUUAUGUUUUAUGUUCAAACUGAAUGCUCCCUAAAGAAAUGAUACGAGUCAAUAGAAAUAUAAAGAACCUCAAAAGUAAUAUGAAGCACUAGAAGAAAAUUAAAAGCCCAUCACUUUUCCAUAAGGAAAUGUUGUUAAUGUUAUUAAUGAUCAACAUGUUUUCAAAAUUUUCUUAAUAAAAAUUAACUUAAAUAUCCAUAAGAUGUUUCUCAAUAACUGUUGGAAUAAUUGGAGCAUAUGUGUUUGCCAGGUAACUUAUUUAGUAUUUUGCAUGAGGUUGUUUCCCAAAUAACUAUAUUUAUUUGUUCAUGGGAUUGAACAUGGUUGAUUCACAAGUUCCUUUCUGCCCAGAGAAUUUUUUCAGGAGUGCUAUUUUCUUCUUACUUGCUUUUUGGGAAGUUUGCAGAACCUUAAUUUGUCCUAGAACAUGAUAGAUACUCUUCAGGGAAGAACAGUUUCUGAUGCAAAACUGUGCAACUGAAAUUGAUUGCUUUUGUGUUUUUAUGUUGAAGAGUUAC